rnacentral:rRNA from 1 species
GACGAACGCUGGCGGCGUGCUUAACACAUGCAAGUUGAACGGAAAGGCCCUGCUUUUGUGGGGUGCUCGAGUGGCGAACGGGUGAGUAACACGUGAGUAACCUGCCCUUGACUUUGGGAUAACUUCAGGAAACUGGGGCUAAUACCGGAUAGGAGCUCCUGCUGCAUGGUGGGGGUUGGAAAGUUUCGGCGGUUGGGGAUGGACUCGCGGCUUAUCAGCUUGUUGGUGGGGUAGUGGCUUACCAAGGCUUUGACGGGUAGCCGGCCUGAGAGGGUGACCGGCCACAUUGGGACUGAGAUACGGCCCAGACUCCUACGGGAGGCAGCAGUGGGGAAUAUUGCACAAUGGGCGGAAGCCUGAUGCAGCAACGCCGCGUGCGGGAUGACGGCCUUCGGGUUGUAAACCGCUUUCGCCUGUGACGAAGCGUGAGUGACGGUAAUGGGUAAAGAAGCACCGGCGAACUACG